AGGAGGAACCAGGCGGGCAACGAGCUCUGAUAUUUGAUCAAGGAAACAGAAUUUC
rnacentral:sRNA from 1 species